CCUACGGGAGGCAGCAGUGGGGAAUAUUGGGCAAUGGGCGCAAGCCUGACCCAGCAACGCCGCGUGAAGGAAGAAGGCGUUCGGGUUGUAAACUUCUUUUCUCAGGGACGAAGCAAGUGACGGUACCUGAGGAAUAAGCCACGGCUAACUACGGGCCAGCAGCCGCGGUAAUACGUAGGUGGCAAGCGUUAUCCGGAUUUACGGGGUGUAAAGGGCGUGUAGGCGGGAAAGCAAGUCAGAUGUGAAAACCAGGGGCUCAACCUGUGGCCUGCAUUGGAAACUGUUUUUCUUGAGUACUGGAGUGGCAGCCGGCAUUCCUCUUGUAGCGGUUCACUGCGUAGAUCUUAGGAGGAUCACCAGUGGCGACGGCGGUCUGCUGGACAGCACCUGACGCUGCGGCGCG
rnacentral:rRNA from 1 species